rnacentral:rRNA from 1 species
GAUGAACGCUGACAGAAUGCUUAACACAUGCAAGUCAACUUAAACUUCGGUUUGGGUGGCGGACGGGUGAGUAACGCGUAAAGAACUUGCCUCACAGAUAGGGACAACAUUUGGAAACGAAUGCUAAUACCUGAUAUUAUGAUUUUAGGGCAUCCUAGGAUUAUGAAAGCUAUAUGCGCUGUGAGAGAGCUUUGCGUCCCAUUAGCUAGUUGGAGAGGUAACGGCUCACCAAGGCGAUGAUGGGUAGCCGGCCUGAGAGGGUGAUCGGCCACAAGGGGACUGAGACACGGCCCUUACUCCUACGGGAGGCAGCAGUGGGGAAUAUUGGACAAUGGACCAAGAGUCUGAUCCAGCAAUUCUGUGUGCACGAUGAAGUUUUUCGGAAUGUAAAGUGCUUUCAGUUGGGAAGAAAAAAAUGACGGUACCAACAGAAGAAGUGACGGCUAAAUACGUGCCAGCAGCCGCGGUAAUACGUAUGUCAAGCGUUAUCCGGAUUUAUUGGGCGUAAAGCGCGUCUAGGUGGUUAUAUAAGUCUGAUGUGAAAAUGCAGGGCUCAACUCUGUAUUGCGUUGGAAACUGUGUAACUAGAGUACUGGAGAGGUAAGCGGAACUACAAGUGUAGAGGUGAAAUUCGUAGAUAUUUGUAGGAAUGCCGAUGGGGAAGCCAGCUUACUGGACAGAUACUGACGCUGAAGCGCGAAAGCGUGGGUAGCAAACAGG